AGAGAAUAGACAGAGAAGAGAUCAAAGAUAGAGAUGCUGUUGCAAAAUUAAUCAGCAAACAGUAUGCGGACUAUCAUAGAGGAGCCAGGGAGUCAGAAAUUAAGGUUGGGGAUAAAGUUAUCGUAGCAAUACAGAAGAAGAACCAAACGGAUCCAACUUUUUCUCAAGACAGAUAUACAGUACUAUCCAGAGAAGGUGGAAAACUCGUCAUUCGCUCCGAACGCGGAGUACAAUAUGUAAGAAAAAUUCAAGAUGUUAAGUUAGUGCCAUACGAGAUGAACAAACCGAAAACAAAUGAAGCAGAAUUGACGGGUUGUUCACUAGGGAUAAGUAAGCAAUGGGACAAGAUUCGAUUAAUCAAGAUAUCAAACAGGCCAGUAACAAAUAUGACAAUUUUCCAUCAAUUGAAGAGUUUCGUGUUGCGAAUCAACGACCGUGGAAGGUUGCUGAAGAGGUAAACGACCAACCAAUGGAAUCUGAUGAAGAACGCCACCAAGAAAGAAUGCAAAGACCGAAGAGAAAUAUUCGCAAGCCAACCAAUUAUAAAGAUAUGUUUUUGUAUAGAGUUUUUGAAUAGAAUUGUAACAGUUUUUGAAUAUAGUUUUGUAUAACAUUUUUUUAUAGAGUUUUAGAAGAGUUUUUAAACAGAGAGUAGAUAAUUGGGCGAACGUAGGGAAUAUAAUUAAUGGCUAUUGAACAAUUUAUAAUUGAUCACAGCAAUCGCGGAAAAGAAAGAUGAUCUUAGGAGUCGAGUAUAGGAAACGAAAUUUAAUAAAUCA